UACGUAGGCAGCAAGCGUUGUUCGGAAUUACUGGGCGUAAAGAGUGUGUAGGCGGUGCUCUAAGUUCGGUGUGAAAAUCUCCUGGCUCAACUGGGAGGGUGCGCCGGAAACUGGGGGUGCUGGAGCGCGGGGAGAGGAAAAGCGGAAUUCCUGGUGUAGCGGUGAAAUGACGUAGAUAUCAGGAGGAACACCGGCGGUGUAGACGGCUUUCUGGACCGUAGCUGACGCUGAGACACGAAAGACGUGGGUAGCAAACAGG
rnacentral:rRNA from 1 species